rnacentral:rRNA from 1 species
UACGUAGGGAGCAAGCGUUGUCCGGAAUCAUUGGGCGUAAAGCGCGCGUAGGCGGCCCCGUAAGUCCGCUGUGAAAGUCCAGGGCUCAACCCUGGAAUGCCGGUGGAAACUGUCGAGCUAGAGUCCGGAAGAGGCGAGUGGAAUUCCUGGUGUAGCGGUGAAAUGCGCAGAUAUCAGGAGGAACACCAAUGGCGAAGGCAGCUCGCUGGGACGGUACUGACGCUGAGACGCGAAAGCGUGGGGAGCAAACAGG